CAUGAUGGUUAGCAUGACAGACAGUAUUGCCAGGCAGUUAAGAUAGUAAUUCAGGGACAGUACUUUGUGAACAGAUAUGUGUUCACAGAGCGUGUGAAUGUAGCCUUGUAGUCCGAGUGGCGAGUUGUGCGGUUUACAGUGUCAAAGGCUACACACAGCAGGAGCGUGGGAUCCAGAAACAUGUUGUCAGAGAAUUUGUUUGUGGUGUUGGGAGUUGGUCUACACAAACACAGAAGAUGAACUUCUUUGUGUGGCAAUGAAAGUCUUGCAUUAACAAUCUCAUCAGCGCCAUCAGUGAGCCACGUUUCAGUCACUAACAUAAUGUCCAGAUGACUGUCACUGAUAAGCUGUGCGAUCUCUCUUCUCAUCGCCUGCUGUGUGGAUGACACAGACCGUGAACAAGCUGCAGACGUCGCACAGCGAGGAGCCGCCAUCCUUUCAUCCGUUUUUAGUCUUAAUAGUGAGUCUCCAUGUCUUAGUACUAUACAUUAUAAAAUUGCUCUUACAAGACACUUAACUUUAAAUAAGUAUUUCAAAAUGACUAGACAGGAAAAAAAAAUUAUUCAAAAGAAAAUAAAUUAGUUUAGUUUAAUCCUUGUUACUAUUCGAGGACCAGAGGGGCGCCAGAAAAUGAAUUUCGCUUUUAUUUUUUGACUUUUAUGGAUUAUUCAGAAAUUUAUGUAAAAUCGAUGUCUAUACCAAAGAAGCGUUUAAAAUUCAUUGCCUGCAUGAAAACUUCAAUGCUGUUAAGCAGUUUGUUUUUUUUUUCUCUCUUUUUUGUUGUUGUCCGGUUAUUGUAAUAUCACAUCGAUUUCGCGCAUUCUGUGUGAAAAUAAAUACCUUGGCUGAAUUAUGUGAAGAUUUUUGUGAAAUACGAUAUUUUGUAUUGUUUUUCUAACAAUAAAUGAAGCUUUGUUGCUGUUUUCGUAAUUUUAAUGUUUAUUAAGGCUUCAACACGUUGAAAUUUAUCAGGGCUUCUGCUAAGGCUAAAUUCUUUGGGGUCCCAGGGACCCUUUCUUCAGAUUUUUAAGUGGUCCCUGUUCUUCCCCCGCAUUUGAAGGGGACCUCAUUGACGAAAAUUGAAGGGGUCCUCCAAACUUUUAAUGCGUACUGUAUGCAAUUUUUUGCGUAAGCAGAAGCCCUGCAUUUAUAUUCCUUUUUACCAAUUGUAGCAGAAAAGACAGGAAAAAACCUUUUCAUAUGCCUCGGAUUAGUGCAUAUCAUUUUUCUGAGCUAGUGGAAUGGAACUAGAAAACUCAAAAACACAGACCAUUAUAUAAUGUAUUAAGUGUCUGUGUCAGCUGAUUGUAAUCAUGGCACUUCAGUAUCACAGAAUUAAUUUCACCAGGUUGUGUGGUCCGGCGACAGCAGUGACUGCACCAUGCUCAUCUUCCCCUCGUCUGUGUAUCAGACCAUGGUGGUAUGGUGCUUAGUGUAAAAUGUUUUCUGCUCUAAUAAAACUGUUACCAGAGAAAGUUUGUGUCUCAAACAGAGCGCCUCCUAGACUACUAUUGCUUGGAACACCUGGCACAGGUAGAAACAUUUAGCUGCUGAUGGUGGGUUCAAAACGGUUACGACGUUUACAUUGUUAGUACUUGGUGGGGGAGUGUUGCAGCAUGCAUCCUGCUGUGUCAUCUGGUGCUAAACACUCGGCAAUAAACAGUUGUAAAGUAUGGUCAACUACAUCUCCUGCAGCAUGAGUUUGAUGACGAGAAAAAGAGAGAAGAAUGCCGUCAACGAUUUGUCACAGGCGGCAAAGGAAGGGUCGGAGUAGGUCAUCAACAAUAAAGUUGUGCACGAAAACAAGUUUUUACCUGAAACUUAUUUUCCAUCUGCAGGCAAGUAAGCGAUCUACAGACAAAAUGUACUUAAAGAAAUGUGCAUUAUUGGGAUAAUUAAAUGCUUAAUUGCAUGUUUUGCAUAUCUCUUUAACUUUCCUUUUACUUGAAAACCUAUAUAUAUAAUUUUUAACAUUAUUUUAUGAGUUCCUGUUUUAUAAUAUGUGAAAUGUUUGAGGCUAUAUAACUUGUACUGUCUUUUGUCAUUUAUAUAUAUAUACACUACAGAUUACCCAGACAAUAGACGACAUUGUUUAACCCCAGGUAGUCUUCCCACCCUAUCUGUGUGUUCGUGGACACACUUGACUUUGCUGUUUUUCUAUACCUUAAACGCAUCUGAUGCAGGAAUGUAUUUCUUGUGUUUACCCACAAACACCAAAUGUACUUCAAUUUCUCUGACACGACUUGUUAAUUCACAUUGCGACUAUAAUGCCGAGUUUUAUGUUUUUCAGGAACAUCAAAUGUCUUUGGAGUUCAUAUUAUGUGUUAAUUGUACACACUCGGGGUGUCGUAGUUAUAAAUAUCUUGAACAUGGAAAUACUCAUCGGUGUCGCUGAAUAAUAAAUAUUCUGUUAAUAGCGCACACACACACACAAUACAGACAAACAAACACAAACGGCCUGAAACCAUUUUUAAUUCCCACCAACAAAAAUUACACAGAAACAGAAACAACAUAGACAUUAUAGAGACAGACAGGAUUCUCCACAAGUGGAAAGGCGGUUUUAAAGUAGGACAUAAAACGAAAAUCCUCUCGAUCACAUGCAAGUCUGUAAACAGCUUCAUCUGAUGACACAUUCAUCUUUUUCUGUGUUCUUUACGUUUAGUUGACAAAAAGGGGACGCAAAUCUUAGAUAAAAUGCUCAUAGGAUUCUCCUGUUAUCACCCCUUUAAUUAAUAAGUAUAUUGUAUAAAGCUGGUGGAAAUUACACUUAUGACAAAAAAACCUAUUCGAAUCUUCAGAAAUCCCAAAUAACUAUGAGACAGACCAGGGAAGAAGUUGCAAAAAAAAAAAAAAAAUCAUUCUUAUUAUUUAAAAUCCACCUUGGGGAGUAGUUGUGAUGAUGUCUACAGUUUUGGGAAAUCCCGCUAGCGUAGACCUUGUUACACUGACUGGCAUCCUGACCUGACCUCUGACCUUUGUUUUAUAAGACCAAGAGAAGCAGCUGCACGGUAGGUUAAUUGCAUUCACACUUUGACAAAUAUCCAGGAAUGAUUAAUAAUCUUGUUGGUCUGAACUGACUGUAAGUAGGUGACCAGGUAACUAACUGUUACUGUAACGUCUCGGUAAAGUUUAUUUUUUGUCAUAAAUUGCUGAAAAUAGGUGACGUGGCCGGAAGGUUCUCGUCUGUAAGUUGUGUGAUGUCACAAACAUUAGGCGGCGGUGUCUCCUACCCUCUCCUUCGCUCGUUUCUCUCGUACUUGGUGAGGCGGUGAGGCGUGAAGGACUAAACUUGCACCUGAAUUACAAUAGCAAGCAGCAAAGGGGCAACAGUGUAGCAACAUCAUGUCAAGCAAAAGAGGACAUCGACGACAUCGACAGUCCACUCAGGAAACAUCAUCUGCAUCGAAACUGGUAGAGACAGUACAGCCCAAGCGAAAGAGAGCAAAAGAUGAUGGAGGAAUUUCUCAGGUAAGUGAGAACUGCAACACUGUUAUCAUCACGGGAGGUAUGGAUGAAAUUGUCAACAACUAUACGAUUUUACAUCUGGAAAUAAAUUUGUAGUACUUCUUUUCAACUUUUUGUUUUUCUUUGUAUUUUUUCUUCAUGCCAAAGAUUUUAUUUCGUAGUGUGUUAAUUUGAUUUUCCGACAAGUCUUUCAUUAAAUUUGGUUACGUUUUCACUUUGCUGGUUGCUGUCAAAAAUUUUUUUUUUUCUUUAUUGUCUUAAUAUAUACACCAGGUUGCAUUCCCUGGUUCCCGUUAAAGGAAUACCUUUCUUUUGCAAACUAACCAUAAUUUUCAUGUUUCUUUCUGAGUCGGUCAAAAGAAACGGAAAAGUUCUUUUAAUAUUUACUGUUAAUAUUUCUAGCACAAACGUUGUCGUUGUUGUUUUUAUGAUGAUGAUGAUGAUGAUGAUGAUGAUGAUGAUGAUGCACCCGAUGCGACCCUGACUCAGUCCAAAAAGUUUUCGUUCUCGCUACCUGGACUGAGCCGAUGUCCAUUGCGCGCAAUGGGCAACGGUUGCCGGCAACCUACCUACUCAGCCGCAUCGUCUCACGAAUGACUACAAUAUUUAGUCAUUUAGAGUACGAUGAAAAACGCCGAAUUCAAGAUAGAACGACAGUAAAUACGAUUUUAA